rnacentral:rRNA from 1 species
UACGUAGGGUGCGAGCGUUGUCCGGAAUUAUUGGGCGUAAAGAGCUCGUAGGCGGUGUGUCACGUCGGCCGUGAAAACCUGCAGCUUAACUGUGGGCGUGCGGUCGAUACGGGCAUCACUGGAGUUCGGCAGGGGAGACUGGAAUUCCUGGUGUAGCGGUGGAAUGCGCAGAUAUCAGGAGGAACACCGGUGGCGAAGGCGGGUCUCUGGGCAGUAACUGACGCUGAGGAGCGAAAGCGUGGGGAGCGAACAGG